UGCAAGUCGAACGGCAGCAUAGAGAGCUUGCUCUCUGAUGGCGAGUGGCGAACGGGUGAGUAAUAUAUCGGAACGUACCUAGUAAUGGGGAACAACUAGCCGAAAGGUUAGCUAAUACCGCAUACGACCUACGGGUGAAAGCAGGGGAUCUUCGGACCUUGCGUUAUUAGAGCGGCCGAUAUCUGAUUAGGUAGUUGGUGGGGUAAAAGCCUACCAAGCCAACGAUCAGUAGCUGGUCUGAGAGGACGAUCAGCCACACUGGAACUGAGACACGGUCCAGACUCCUACGGGAGGCAGCAGGGGAAUUUUGGACAAUGGGGGCAACCCUGAUCCAGCCAUUCCGCGUGAGUGAAGAAGGCCUUCGGGUUGUAAAGCUCUUUCACAAGAGAAGAAAUAUUACUAUCAAAUAAAUAGUAAGGAUGACGGUAUCUUGAGAAGAAGCACCGGCUAACUACGUGCCAGCAGCCGCGGUAAUACGUAGGGUGCGAGCGUUAAUCGGAAUUACUGGGCGUAAAGCGUGCGCAGGCGGUUUUAUAAGUCAGAUGUGAAAUCCCCGAGCUCAACUUGGGAACUGCGUUUGAAACUGUAAGACUAGAGUGUGUCAGAGGGGGGUAGAAUUCCAUGUGUAGCAGUGAAAUGCGUAGAUAUAUGGAGGAAUACCAAUGGCGAAGGCAGCCCCCUGGGGUAACACUGACGCUCAUGCACGAAAGCGUGGGGAGCAAACAGGAUUAAAUACCCUGGUAGU
rnacentral:rRNA from 1 species